rnacentral:rRNA from 1 species
GAUGAACGCUGGCGGCGUGCUUAACACAUGCAAGUCGAACGAAGCACUUUAUUUGAUUUCCUUCGGGACUGAUUAUUUUGUGACUGAGUGGCGGACGGGUGAGUAACGCGUGGGUAACCUGCCUUGUACAGGGGGAUAACAGUUGGAAACGGCUGCUAAUACCGCAUAAGCGCUCGACAUCGCAUGAUGCAGUGUGAAAAACUCCGGUGGUAUAAGAUGGACCCGCGUUGGAUUAGCUAGUUGGUGAGGUAACGGCCCACCAAGGCGAUGAUCCAUAGCCGGCCUGAGAGGGUGACCGGCCACAUUGGGACUGAGACACGGCCCAAACUCCUACGGGAGGCAGCAGUGGGGAAUAUUGCACAAUGGGCGAAAGCCUGAUGCAGCGACGCCGCGUGAGCGAAGAAGUAUUUCGGUAUGUAAAGCUCUAUCAGCAGGGAAGAUAAUGACGGUACCUGACUAAGAAGCACCGGCUAAAUACGUGCCAGCAGCCGCGGUAAUACGUAUGGUGCAAGCGUUAUCCGGAUUUACUGGGUGUAAAGGGAGCGCAGGCGGUGCGGCAAGUCUGAUGUGAAAGCCCGGGGCUCAACCCCGGUACUGCAUUGGAAACUGUCGUACUAGAGUGUCGGAGGGGUAAGCGGAAUUCCUAGUGUAGCGGUGAAAUGCGUAGAUAUUAGGAGGAACACCAGUGGCGAAGGCGGCUUACUGGACGAUAACUGACGCUGAGGCUCGAAAGCGUGGGGAGCAAACAAGAUUAGAUACCCUGGUAGUCCACGCCGUAAACG